rnacentral:lncRNA from 1 species
AUUCAACUAGAGACGCUGCUUGACAGUGUGUUUGCGAGAUGCUGGACAAAAUGCCAUUUUCAAAUCCUUACGACUUCUGCAACUCCUGCCGUGUCUACAGACGUCACAAGCAAGAACUGACACUCAGAGAAUGAGUUCACAACUGGUAAAUAGUCGCUUAUAGAUAUACAUGUACAUCUGAAGUUACAUUUCGGUACCCUGAAAUGUUUAUAAAAGUGUGUGUGUGUGUGUGUGUGUGUCUGUGUGUGUGUGUGAGAGAGAGAGACUGACCCCCGGGUCUGACAGAGAAGGGGCCCAGCUCCAAGCCCCCGGUUGUGCACCACAUCAAAUCAACAAUUUCCUCCCUUGGAUAAGGAGCUUCCCAGAUCUCCAAUAAGCAGAGAGAUUGAAAGAAAGAAAGAAAGAAAGAAAGAAAGAGGGAGGGAAAGAGACAUUCAGAGGACUCCUUCUGGCAAAGGGCACAGUUUUGUCUGCAGCUCCCCCCCUGCUCCAAGGCUUCUCCACUUUCCCUCUGCGUCAAGGGGGAUGUCCAUUAAAUAAUGGAGUUGUCAGAUCUGACAGCCCGGCUCUCCUGGAUAAAGUGGGAUUAACUCAGGAUGGAGCGACCCAAGUACAUGGGGGGGGGGGGUGUUGGCGGGGGAUUUACACCCCCUUCUCUGUCCGUGUCAAUGGCAGCAUCACAUCAGGGGCUGAGUGACAUCUGCAGACUUCUCACCAGGCCGUGCACCUCUCUCUGCAGACAUCCGCGCCCCUCACAGCUUUUAAUAUUUGAAUGUGUUGUGGAUUGGUAAUUGAGUGCCAGUGUUUCUUUGGAGUUGCCUGUUGUUUUACAGUGAAUGGGGGACCGGGGCCAGACUCAAGCCUAUGGGGAUGGUGCUUGUCACAGGGGAGAGAAGCAGGCUGGCAUGGGACUGAAUUAACCUUGGUAAUAAAAAAAAUAAAAAGAAUCGUAUGGAGUAUCAUACUGAAGUGUUCAUUUGAAACCUUUUGCUGUUGUUCAUUAGACACUGUUACAAGGGACUUGAUGAUGUAAAUUAGACUGUGUGACACCCACAUUUCAGUAAGUUAAUUUAUCCUAAUGAAUUAAUCAUUGUAUUUAUUUAAAUUAAUUUAUGUAUUUAUUCGUCAAUUUGUUUAUUUAUUUAUUAUUUUGUAUUGGUCAUUUUGGUUCUUUUGUAUUAUUUUGAUGGAUUAACAUUCCUUUUUUAUUAAUGAUUUAUUCAACUUUUUUAAUGUAUGGUGGCUAGUUGUUUAUCUUUAAUCAAUUAUGUAUUAUGUCAUCAAAUGGACCAUUUUGAUAUUCCUACUACUUAUUAUGAAGAUACCUGUAUAUUGUUUUUCUAGUGCUUGUGAGUAUUGAGGUGAAAUUGUAAAGCCGGGUUGGACUGGGGAAUGGAUUUGUGCUUGAUGGCAAAUCAGGGAAUUCCUAACACAAUGAAAUUAGGCAGUAUGUUUUCCAGAUUAUUCUCCCCAUGCUGACUGUAAUUCCUCUAUGUUGGUUAGGAGUUUGAAACGAAGAUGGAACGAAUCCAACCAACCUGUGUGUAUUUGUAAUGGUUCCCGAAGCCCUGUUGGUGACAUUGAAUCUGCAGCUGUGGUGUCCAGGCCCACUGUAGAGACCUUUAGCUUUCCCCCUGCACACACACACACAGCAGCAUUUGGUUUAGCCAUUUCCCUUACGGUCAAAAGACGUACUCAGGUGACUCCACAUUCUGUUCCCACUUAGCUGGCUCUAUCCACUGGGACCAGCUUAGCAAGGCCUCACUGACACUGUCACUGUAAAUGACUCUCAAUGUCAUCAUGUAAAUCCAUGGAUGUCAAUGUAGUGCCUGUGCACUCAUACUACGUAUGGUUUAGUCAGAGACGUAGUAAACAGAGACAGAAGGAGUAUUCCCAGUGCGCACACUCCCUCUGUUCUCCUGCACGUGUACUUUUAGUGCUGCUAACGACCCUCAUAGGAAACAGUUACGCAGGAACACACAGCAAUAUGGGAAGUCCAUUUGGGUGGGGGAGACUUAAGGGGUGGAUGGCGGUGAGGUUCCUCAGAGGACCCUAAAUGGGAGUAUGGGAGUGUCAUCCCUCCCACAGGUGUGUGUGUGUGUGUUUGUGUGUCACCUGUGGAUCCAUUCCCACCACCUCCUUCAGGGUUACACCCUUUCUUUAACCACCAUCUUACACCACUCCCCUCCAUGCCCCCCCCUCC